UCGAGUUCUGGGUGGGAAACGUCGUCUGUCCUCCUUCGGGGGGGCAUGACGGUGCUCCCGUCGCCCAAACUUCCAACCCUUUGCUUAAAUCUACCUUUUGUUGCUUUGGUCAAACCAUUUUACGAUGGUUUGACCAAUAGCCCCUUUCAAUUCUUUCUGAAUUUAUGCAGUCUGAAUCUUUAAUUAUCAAAAUUUAAUUA
rnacentral:misc_RNA from 1 species